rnacentral:rRNA from 1 species
GACGAACGCUGGCGGCGUGCUUAACACAUGCAAGUCGAACGGAAAGGCCUGCUUUCCCUUGUGGAUUGCGGGUACUCGAGUGGCGAACGGGUGAGUAACACGUGAGUGAUCUGCCCCCAACUUGGGUAUAAGCCUGGGAAACUGGGUCUAAUUCCCGAUAGUACUGCAGGGUGGUGCCUGUGGUGGAAAACGAUUUUCUAGUGGUUGGGGAUGAGCUCGCGGCCUAUCAGCUUGUUGGUGGGGUAAUGGCCUACCAAGGCGUCGACGGGUAGCCGGCCUGAGAGGGUGGAAGUGCACAUGAGGAAUGGGCCACGGUCCAGAGGCAGACGGGAGGCAGCAGUGGGGAAUAUUGGACGAAGGGCGGAAGCCGGAAGCAGGGGCGGCGGGUGGGGGACGACGGGCUGCGGGGUGUAAUCUCCGUUCGAGAGAGAGGAAGCCACCUGGUUGGAAGGGUGGUGACGGUAGUGGUAGAAGAAGCACCGGCUACCUACGU